GUCAUAGCUCAGUGGUAGAACAUCUGCUUUGCAUGUCAGAAGGUCCCUGGUUCAAUCCCCAGUAUCUCCA